GACGGGAGAAAAAGUUUAACCCCGUCGCGCCAUCUGUGGUCACGCUGCUCACACACCCUUCUGGGCUCGGGUGAAUCAGCCAGAGACGUUCUUGCGCCCCCUUAGCCUGCGGGCGGUUGGAGGCUGCGGCGACUGCGCGCUGAGCAGCUUCCUGCCGUAGGGCUCGAGCCUGGCUGCCGCUGGGACCGCGGGAAUGAUGCUGAGAAAGGUGAUAAAGCUGAUCUCUAAGAGCCAUAAGGACGCUUUCUGCAUGUGGGCACCAGGACAUCACAAAGCAUUGCUGUCAGUCUGGAUGCCCAGGUUCCAGGUUCCAGGGCCAUUUCUCGAACUCAGGAAAGUGACCUGGCCAAGCAUGGGGAGCAGCACCUGUCUCAACACUACAGCAUUCCCCUGGAGGAACUGAAGACUGUUUUCCCACAUGGACUGCCACCUCGUUUUGGAAUGCAGGUGCUUGAGGCAUUGGAUUGGGAUGGGAAGAGAUGGGAUGGA